CAAGGGUGGAGGAGGGGGGGAUGCUGACGGGCUGGUGCUGGCCGCUCAGGCGGUGGUGCAGGCCGCCCUGUUGGCUGCCGUCCAGCAGCUGUUGAGGGAACAGCAGAACUCUGUGGACCACGUGCACCCCCAUCACGCCCACCACCUGUCCCCCGCCCCUUACUGACCCUUAGUCCCUAACGUCUAACAUUAAGUCCCUAACGUCUAACCCUUUGUCCCUGACGUCUAACCCUUAGUCCCUAACAUCUAACCCUUAGUCCCUAACAUCUAACCCUUAGUCCCUAACGUCUAACCCUUAGUCCCUAACAUCUAACCCUUUGUCCCUGACGUCUAACCCUUAGUCCCUAACAUCUAGCAUUAAGUCCCUAACAUCUAACCCAUAGUUCCUAACAUCUAACCCUUAGUUCCUAACGUCUAACCCUUAGUCCCUAACAUCUAACCCUUAGUCCCUAACGUCUAACCCUUUGUCCCUGACGUCUAACCCUUAGUCCCUAACAUCUAACAUUAAGUCCCUAACAUCUAACCCUUAGUCCCUAACAUCUAACCCUUAGUUCCUAACAUCUAACCCUUAGUUCCUAACGUCUAACCCUUAGUCCCUAACAUCUAACCCUUAGUCUCUAACAUCUAACCCUUAGUCCCUAACGUCUAACCCUUAGUCCCUACCAUCUAACUGUUAGUCCCUACCACUUAACACUUAAUUCCUACCAACACUUAGUCCCUAACAUUUAACCCAUAGCCGUUAACAUCUAGCCCCUCACCCUAAUCACUCAUCCCCAUGCCCUUAAUCACUUUAUCUAACCCUAAGUCCAUAACCUCUAACCCUUAAUCUGAACCAUCUAACACAUAGUCCCUAACAUCUAACCCAUAGUUCCUACCAUCUAACACUUAGUCCCUAACAUCUAACACUUAGGCUUUAACAUCCAUCCCCAUCCCCUUAAUCCCUCAAAUCAAACCCCUAGUCCCUCAAAUCUAACCCUUGGUCCCUGGCAUAUAACCCUUAUUUCCUAACAAUUAAACCUAAGUCCCAAACAGCUUACCCCUCACCCCAUCACCUGUCCCUCAACCCUUAAAGCCAGGGAAGGCAAUUUGGAGAAACCAGCAAGAGCACGAUUUUAAGUAUACAAACGAUAAAAUCCCAGUCCUCCUUUAACUCCCCAAUAACAAGUGACCAGCUGGCUAGGUUUAAAAAUAGUUCUGCAUAGCAUUGUGGGAGACUCCGCUCAUGUGCAAUGAGUGCACAGGCAGCGUGCGGCAGGUAGCCCGGAAGGGUGGGGGCUACUGCUUGUGUUGUGAAAGGAUGGCUGAAGGGUUGGACCAUUGAAGCAUUCAGUCAGGGAUUUGUGUCCCUACUUGUUUGAUUUUUGCAGAAAAAGGAGUGUAUAUUGCAGGCCACAAGGUUCAUUACGAAGUGUUAAGCAGUACUCUGUUAUUUUAGAAAAGCGUGACACCUCAAAUAUAAGCAACACUUAACACUGGUUAAGAGAGAAAACGAUUUUUCACAUGCAAAAUGCCGCGGCUGCUAUUUGAUUCCAAGUGUGUAGGAAGCAUUUCUAUUUUGUCCAGCCUUGAAAUAAAAAAGGCAGUUUAAAAUCAAAUAAUAAAGUGGUUACAUGAUAACAUACAUUGUAUAGUUAGGCUGAAGGAAAUAUUUUUUGUGAACUAAAGCAUUUAAAAGUGAGCCAUGUGGCUCACCUUUAAAUGCUACUGGCUGCGCUAACUAGCAUUCUAGAACAACAUCACCAGCUAGUGUAGCACCACUCUGCUAAGUGACACAACAGACAUAUCAUAUAGUUAUAGGUCAGAGAGAGAGAGAGAGAGAGAGAGAGAGAGAGAGAGAGAGAGAGAGAGAGAGAGAGAGAGAGAGAGAGAGAGAGAGAGAGAGAGAGAGAGAGAGAGAGAGAGAGAGAGAGAGAGAGAGAGAGAGAGAGAGAGAGAGAGAGAGAGAGAGAGAGAGAGAGAGAGAGAGAGAGAGAGAGAGAGAGAGAGAGAGAGAGAGAGAGAGAGAGAGAGAUAUAUAUUUCACAACUAUUUUGAAUGGUUCAAAUGCCCAUGUUUUUAUAAUUUUCCGUUCACAGACUGUUGCAUGUUGUAUAAAAUACCUUUGUUCUUGAAAACAGUAGAGUGUAAACCUUCUUACAGAUCUUGCCUUAAUCAAAAUGUGAUCUUUAUUUUAAUGAGAAAUUAUAAAUAUAAGUUUUGUCUAUUAUUCUAAAAUGUUAAUGAUUUUCUGACAUUUGAAUUAAAGGGCAGUUCUCCAAUGUGUUGUAUUAUAUUGAAAGAUUUAAUGACGAAGGGGAGAAAAGAGACAGAAUGAGGACGAAUGAUAGGCAAGUGAAGGAUGGAGGGUUGAUAGAGGGGAG
ensembl:lncRNA